rnacentral:lncRNA from 1 species
GAAGAAAUGCUCCCUGGGGUUCACUCUACAGUAGGGGAAGCUGAGGCUCAGAGAGCAAAAGGGAUCAUCCUGAAGCCACCCAGCAAGGACGGCUGAGUGGCAGGUCCAAGCUUCAGGAAGAAGCCAAUUUGCAUCUUGGGAAAGAACUGAGUGUCAGGCCGAGAGCUUCUGCAGUAAUGUUUGUUCGUGGCCACCCUGCCUGGCCCCUCUGCUCCGAUGGGGAUCGUCAGUCUGUCUGCUAUGACUGUUCUGGCGGCGGAUGCACCGCUCCCCUGUCCUCUCAUCGUCCUGCUCUUGCCUUGGGCCUGGAAGGCACCUAACAAAUCCUGCUGUGUGUUCACCCAGAGACCCCACCUGGACCCCGCACUCCUGGGAGGUGCCCAGUUAUUCUACAGGUAUGGGGCUCUCUUUCCCUCAGAGUCCAGUCUUCGUUGUUCCAAGCCUUUCGAGGACCCAUGUCUCAUGGCCACCUGGGAUCCCCAUACCUCGAUCACGUGGC